rnacentral:rRNA from 1 species
GAUGAACGCUGGCGGCGUGCCUAAUACAUGCAAGUCGAGCGAACGGACGAGAAGCUUGCUUCUCUGAUGUUAGCGGCGGACGGGUGAGUAAUACGUGGCUAACCUACCUAUAAGACUGGGAUAACUUCGGGAAACCGGAGCUAAUACCGGAUAAUAUUUUGAACCGCAUGGUUCAAAAGUGAAAGACGGUCUUGCUGUCACUUAUUGAUGGAUCCGCGCUGCAUUAGCUAGUUGGUAAGGUAACGGCUUACCAAGGCAACGAUGCAUAGCCGACCUGAGAGGAUGAUCGGCCACACUGGAACUGAGACACGGUCCAGACUCCUACGGGAGGCAGCAGUAGGGAAUAUUCCGCAAUGGGCGAAAGCCUGACGGAGCAACGCCGCGUGUGUGAUGAAGGUCUUCGGAUCGUAAAACUCUGUUAGUAGGGAAGAACAUAAGUGAAAGAAACUGUUGACAUCUUGACGGUACCUAAACAGAAAGCCACGGCUAACUACGUG